rnacentral:rRNA from 1 species
AUACGGAGGGUGCAAGCGUUACUCGGAAUCACUGGGCGUAAAGCGCGCGCAGGCGGCUUGAUAAGUUGGAUGUGAAAGCCUACGGCUCAACCGUAGAACUGCAUCCAAAACUGUCAGGCUAGAGUCUGGGAGGGGAAGAUGGAAUUAGUUGUGUAGGGGUAAAAUCCGUAGAGAUAACUAGGAAUACCAAAAGCGAAGGCGAUCUUCUGGAACAGUACUGACGCUGAGGCGCGAAAGCGUGGGGAGCAAACAGGAUUAGAUACCCUAGUAGUCC